UUCUGUUUGCAGUUUGGUCACCGAUUCAUCUACGCUUUGAGUGUAAUACGGUUCUUCAUGAACAUUAUUUUCAGCUUGGAUGCUGGAUGUGAAUGAUAUUUGGUAUACCAAAUUAACAGAUUUUCGGAAUGAGUUCGAUGAAGUGUGUCCCGGUGAAUGAACGAAUUCAAAAUUCGUUGCAGGAAUGAGCCAUCGUCGUGACGUUGCAAUAACCGCAGCUCGAAAUGGUAGAUUUUUGCAUCGAGAAAUGGAAACUUGAUUGCUUCACGGGGCAGAGUUCGGGAGUUAUUCAAGUUUGGAGAAGGAGAAGCAGGAUGAUUGAUGAGCAUUGACUCCGCGCAAGCAAACUGCUAACAAGGCGGAUGAGACCGAUUAAGAAUCCAAAUUGGAGAAAAUCAAACACCGAGGAAGAAGAGGACGACUUUGUUCUCACUCCAUGAGCGAUAUGCAGAGGGUGUUGGUGUUACCAAUUACCCAUUCCAACUGCAUGCUGCACCUUGAUUGCCAAUGUUCGAUUCCCAAUCAGAUUACGUUUUCCAUCAUGACUUAAUUCGGAUGUCUGAACAACUCGCCCAUUCUGUACCAAGAUUUAACUCUCUUACUCAAUGUAUAAGUGAAAUCUUUGUAUCCGCACAGUCAAUUAGAACCUAGAAUAAUUCUUUUCUCGUCAAAUAUGCGGACUGAUGUAAUUUCAUUAAACUGCAAAGGUGAAUUAUUGUAAUAUAAAUGAAGAUUUG